rnacentral:rRNA from 1 species
AGAGUUUGAUCAUGGCUCAGAUUGAACGCUGGCGGCAGGCCUAACACAUGCAAGUCGAGCGGAAACGGCAGCAUUGAAGCUUCGGUGGAUUUGCUGGACGUCGAGCGGCGGACGGGUGAGUAACGGCUGGGAACCUGCCCUGACGCGGGGGAUAACCGUUGGAAACGACGGCUAAUACCGCAUAAUGUCUUAGUUCAUUACGAGCUGGGACCAAAGGUGGCCUCUACAUGUAAGCUAUCGCGUUGGGAUGGGCCCAGUUAGGAUUAGCUAGUUGGUAAGGUAAUGGCUUACCAAGGCAACGAUCCUUAGCUGGUUUGAGAGGAUGAUCAGCCACACUGGGACUGAGACACGGCCCAGACUCCUACGGGAGGCAGCAGUGGGGAAUAUUGCACAAUGGGGGAGACCCUGAUGCAGCCAUGCCGCGUGUGUGAAGAAGGCCUUCGGGUUGUAAAGCACUUUCAGCAGUGAGGAAGGUGGUGUACUUAAUAAGUGCAUGGCUUGACGUUAGCUGCAGAAGAAGCACCGGCUAACUCCGUGCCAGCAGCCGCGGUAAUACGGAGGGUGCGAGCGUUAAUCGGAAUUACUGGGCGUAAAGCGCAUGCAGGCGGUUUGUUAAGUCAGAUGUGAAAGCCCGGGGCUCAACCUCGGAACCGCAUUUGAAACUGGCAGGCUAGAGUCUUGUAGAGGGGGGUAGAAUUUCAGGUGUAGCGGUGAAAUGCGUAGAGAUCUGAAGGAAUACCAGUGGCGAAGGCGGCCCCCUGGACAAAGACUGACGCUCAGAUGCGAAAGCGUGGGUAGCAAACAGGAUUAGAUACCCUGGUAGUCCACGCCGUAAACGCUGUCUACUUGGAGGUUGAGGUUUAGACUUUGGCUUUCGGCGCUAACGCAUUAAGUAGACCGCCUGGGGAGUACGGCCGCAAGGUUAAAACUCAAAUGAAUUGACGGGGGCCCGCACAAGCGGUGGAGCAUGUGGUUUAAUUCGAUGCAACGCGAAGAACCUUACCUACUCUUGACAUCCAGCGAAUCCUUUAGAGAUAGAGGCGUGCCUUCGGGAGCGCUGAGACAGGUGCUGCAUGGCUGUCGUCAGCUCGUGUUGUGAAAUGUUGGGUUAAGUCCCGCAACGAGCGCAACCCUUAUCCUUGUUUGCCAGCACAUAAUGGUGGGAACUCCAGGGAGACUGCCGGUGAUAAACCGGAGGAAGGUGGGGACGACGUCAAGUCAUCAUGGCCCUUACGAGUAGGGCUACACACGUGCUACAAUGGCAGAUACAGAGGGCAGCGAAGCUGCGAAGUGGAGCGAAUCCCUUAAAGUCUGUCGUAGUCCGGAUUGGAGUCUGCAACUCGACUCCAUGAAGUCGGAAUCGCUAGUAAUCGUGGAUCAGAAUGCCACGGUGAAUACGUUCCCGGGCCUUGUACACACCGCCCGUCACACCAUGGGAGUGGGCUGCACCAGAAGUAGAUAGCUUAACCUUCGGGAGGGCGUUUACCACGGUGUGGUUCAUGACUGGGGUGAAGUCGUAACAAGGUAGCCCUAGGGGAACCUGGGGCUGGAUCACCU